CUGCUGCCUCCCGUAGGAGUUUGGGCCGUGUCUCAGUCCCAAUGUGGCCGGUCACCCUCUCAGGUCGGCUACUGAUCGUCGCCUUGGUGGGCUGUUAUCUCACCAACUAGCUAAUCAGAUGCGGGCCCAUCUUUUACCGAAUAAAUCCUUUCUUUCCUAGAAGAUGCCUUCCAAGAACCGUAUGCGGUAUUAGUCACCGUUUCCAGUGAUUAUUCCCCAGUAAAAGGCAGGUUACCCACACGUUACUCACCCGUCCGCCGCUAAAAUAAU
rnacentral:rRNA from 1 species